rnacentral:rRNA from 1 species
UACGUAGGGGGCGAGCGUUGUCCGGAUUUACUGGGCGUAAAGCGCGUGUAGGCGGGAAGCCUAAGUCCGAUCAUGAAAGGCCCCUGGCUCAACCAGGGAUCCGGACCGGAAACUGGGCUUCUUGAGGACGGCAGGGGAGUGUGGAAUUCCUGGUGUAGCGGUGAAAUGCGUAGAGAUCAGGAGGAACACCCAUGGCGAAGGCAGCACUCUGGACCGGACCUGACGCUGAGACGACGAAGCGUGGGAGCGAACGGG